rnacentral:rRNA from 1 species
UGGGGAAUAUUGGACAAUGGGCGAAAGCCUGAUCCAGCCAUGCCGCGUGUGUGAAGAAGGUCUUCGGAUUGUAAAGCACUUUAAGUUGGGAGGAAGGGCUGUCGGCUAAUACCCUGCAGUUUUGACGUUACCAACAGAAUAAGCACCGGCUAACUUCGUGCCAGCAGCCGCGGUAAUACGAAGGGUGCAAGCGUUAAUCGGAAUUACUGGGCGUAAAGCGCGCGUAGGUGGUUCAGCAAGUUGGAUGUGAAAGCCCCGGGCUCAACCUGGGAACUGCAUCCAAAACUACUGAGCUAGAGUACGGUAGAGGGUGGUGGAAUUUCCUGUGUAGCGGUGAAAUGCGUAGAUAUAGGAAGGAACACCAGUGGCGAAGGCGACCACCUGGACUGAUACUGACACUGAGGUGCGAAAGCGUGGGGAGCAAACAG